GACGAACGCUGGCGGCGUGCUUAACACAUGCAAGUCGAGCGGUAAGGCCCUUUUGGGGGUACACGAGCGGCGAACGGGUGAGUAACACGUGGGUGACCUGCCCUCAGCUCUGGGAUAAGCCUGGGAAACUGGGUCUAAUACUGGAUAUGACCUUUCCUCGCAUGGGGUUGGGUGGAAAGUUUUUUCGGCUGGGGAUGGGCCCGCGGCCUAUCAGCUUGGUUGGUGGGGUGAUGGCCUACCAAGGCGACGACGGGUAGCCGGCCUGAGAGGGCGACCGGCCACACUGGGACUGAGACACGGCCCAGACUCCUACGGGAGGCAGCAGUGGGGAAUAUUGCGCAAUGGGCGGAAGCCUGACGCAGCGACGCCGCGUGGGGGAUGACGGCCU
rnacentral:rRNA from 1 species